GAUGAACGCUGGCGGCGUGCCUAAUACAUGCAAGUCGAGCGAACGGACGAGAAGCUUGCUUCUCUGAUGUUAGCGGCGGACGGGUGAGUAACACGUGGAUAACCUACCUAUAAGACUGGGAUAACUUCGGGAAACCGUAGCUAAUACCGGAUAAUAUUUUGAACCGCAUGGUUCAAAAGUGAAAGACGGUCUUGCUGUCACUUAUAGAUGGAUCCGCGCUGCAUUAGCUAGUUGGUAAGGUAACGGCUUAACAAGGCCACGAUGCAUAGCCGACCUGAGAGGGUGAGCGGCCACACUGGAACUGAGACACGGUCCAGACUCCUAAGGGAGGCAGCAGUAGCGAAUCUUCCGCAAUGGGCGAAAGCCUGACGGAGCAACGCCGCGUGAGUGAUGAAGGUCUUCGGAUCGUAAAACUCUGUUAUUAGGGAAGAACAUAUGUGUAAGUAACUGUGCACAUCUUGACGGUAUCUAAUCAGAAAGCCACGGCUAACUACGUG
rnacentral:rRNA from 1 species